rfam:Stegodyphus mimosarum contig114066, whole genome shotgun sequence.
GCCUUCGUGGUGUAGUGGUCAGCACCCUCGGCGCGUAUUCGAGAGGUCCGUGGUUCGAGUCCCGGCGAAGACA